rnacentral:rRNA from 1 species
UACAGAGGUCUCAAGCGUUGUUCGGAAUCACUGGGCGUAAAGCGUGCGUAGGCUGUUUCGUAAGUCGUGUGUGAAAGGCGCGGGCUCAACCCGCGGACGGCACAUGAUACUGCGAGACUAGAGUAAUGGAGGGGGAACCGGAAUUCUCGGUGUAGCAGUGAAAUGCGUAGAUAUCGAGAGGAACACUCGUGGCGAAGGCGGGUUCCUGGACAUUAACUGACGCUGAGGCACGAAGGCCAGGGGAGCGAGAGGG